rnacentral:rRNA from 1 species
UACGUAGGGGGCUAGCGUUGUCCGGAUUUAUUGGGCGUAAAGAGCGUGUAGGCGGCCUGGUAGGUCUGCUGUGAAAACUCGAGGCUCAACCUCGAGCUGUCGGCGGAAACCACUUGGCUAGAGUCCGGAAGAGGAGAGUGGAAUUCCUGGUGUAGCGGUGAAAUGCGCAGAUAUCAGGAAGAACACCUAUGGCGAAGGCAGCUCUCUGGGACGGUACUGACGCUGAGACGCGAAAGCGUGGGGAGCGAACAGG